rnacentral:lncRNA from 1 species
CAACCAGUCCUGCCUAUUCUCCUACAAGUCCAUCUUAAUCGCCUUCUUCCCUAGGCUACGGCCAUACCUCCCCGAACUACAACCCAAACUCUCCAAGUUACAGCACCCACCUGCAUAUACAAUCCUGCUACACCAUCUUACAGUCCAACCUCUCCUUUGUACAGCACAAGUCCAACCUCUCCUUUGUACAGCACAACAUCGCCUUUGUACGGGCUUACCUCACCAUCCUACAACCCUAUAUCGCCAUCAUUCAGCCACCACUUUGCCAGCCUAUAGCCCCACUUCUCCUCGUUACAGCCGAACUUCACCAAGAACUGCACCAGCCUACAGCCCUACAUCCCAAAGUUAUAAUCCUCA